CCUACGGGGCGCAGCAGUGGGGGAUAUUGCACAAUGGGGGAAACCCUGAUGCAGCGACGCCGCGUGUGGGAAGACGGUCCUCUGGAUUGUAAACCACUGUCCCCAGGGACGAAGAUGACGGUACCUGGGGAGGAAGCUCCGGCUAACUACGUGCCAGCAGCCGCGGUAAUACGUAGGGAGCGAGCGUUGUCCGGAAUUACUGGGUGUAAGGGGAGCGUAGGCGGGACUGCAAGUUGGGUGUCAAAUCUACCGGCUCAACCGGUAGCCGCACUCAAAACUGCAGUUCUUGAGUGAAGUAGAGGCAGGCGGAAUUCCUAGUGUAGCGGUGAAAUGCGUAGAUAUUAGGAGGAACACCAGUGGCGAAGGCGGCCUGCUGGGCUUUUACUGACGCUGAGGCUCGAAAGUGUGGGGAGCAAACAGGAUUAGAUACCCGUGUAGUC
rnacentral:rRNA from 1 species